rnacentral:rRNA from 1 species
AAUUGACGGGGCCCGCACAAGCAGCGGAGCGUGUGGUUUAAUUCGAUGCUACACGAAGAACCUUACCAGGGUUUGACAUGUUAGUUGUAGGGAACUGAAAAGGGACGACCCUUCGGGGAGCUAACACAGGUGCUGCAUGGCUGUCGUCAGCUCGUGUCGUGAGAUGUUCGGUUAAGUCCGCUAACGAGCGCAACCCUCGCCGUGUGUUAUAAGUGUCACGCGGGACCGCCGGUCUUAAGCCGGAGGAAGGUGGGGAUGACGUCAAGUCAGCAUGGCCUUUAUGUCCUGGGCUACACACACGCUACAAUGGCCAGUACAAUUGGUAGCGAAGUCGCGAGGCGGAGCCAAUCCGUAAAAGCUGGCCUCAGUUCAGAUUGCAGGCUGCAACCCGCCUGCAUGAAGAUGGAGUUGCUAGUAACCGCAGGUCAGCAAUACUGCGGUGAAUACGUUCCCGGGCCUU